rnacentral:rRNA from 1 species
AUACGUAGGGUGCAAGCGUUAAUCGGAAUUACUGGGCGUAAAGCGUGCGCAGGCGGUUUUGUAAGACAGAGGUGAAAUCCCCGGGCUCAACCUGGGAACUGCCUUUGUGACUGCAAGGCUAGAGUACGGCAGAGGGGGGUGGAAUUUCGCGUGUAGCAGUGAAAUGCGUAGAUAUGCGGAGGAACACCGAUGGCGAAGGCAAUCCCCUGGGCCUGUACUGACGCUCAUGCACGAAAGCGUGGGGAGCAAACAGGAUUAGAUACCCUGGUAGUCCACGCCCUAAACGAUGUCAACUGGUUGUUGGGUCUUCAUUGACUCAGUAACGAAGCUAACGCGUGAAGUUGGCCGCCUGGGGAGUACGGCCGCAAGGUUGAAACUCAAAUGAAUUGACGGGG